CUACGGGUGGCUGCAGGCGCGAAACCUUUACAAUGCACUAACGUGUGAUAAGGGGACUCCAAGUGCUCAUACACUGUAUGGGCUUUUGCCAAGAGUAAAUACCUUGGCGAAUAAGCGGUGGGUAAGACUGGUGCCAGCCGCCGCGGUAACACCAGCGCCGCUAGUGGGAGCCACUUUUAUUGGGCCUAAAGCGUCCGUAGUCGGUUCAGUAAAUUUCUUGUGAAAUUACCAGGCUUAACUUGGUAGCGUGCAGGAAAGACUGCUAAACUAGGGACCGGGAGGAGUGCGGGGUAUUCCUUGGGGAGCGGUAAAAUGUUAUAAUCCUUGGAAGACCACCUGUGGCGAAGGCGCCGCACUAGAACGGAUCCGACGAUGAGGGACGAAAGCCAGGGGAGCGAUCCGGAUUAGAUACCCCGGUAGUC
rnacentral:rRNA from 1 species